rnacentral:rRNA from 1 species
AACGAACGCUGGCGGCAUGCCUAACACAUGCAAGUCGAACGAGACCUUCGGGUCUAGUGGCGCACGGGUGCGUGACGCGUGGGAACCUGCCCUUGGGUUCGGAAUAACUCCCCGAAGGGGGUGCUAAUACCAGAGAAUGUCUUCGGACAAAAGAUUUAUCGCCUUUGGAUGGGGCCGCGUUGGAUUAGCUGGUUGGUAGGGUAAAAGCCUGCCAAGGCGAUGAUGCAUAGCUGGUCUGAGAGGAUGAUCAGCCACACUGGGACUGAGACACGGCCCAGACUCCUACGGGAAGCUGCAGUGGGGUAUAUUGGACAAUGGGCGAAAGCCUGAUCCAGCAAUGCCGCGGGAGUGAUGAAGGCCUUAGGGUUGUAAAGCUCUUUGACCCGGGAUGAUAAUGACAGUACCGGGAGAAUAAGCACCGGCUAACUACGUG